rnacentral:rRNA from 1 species
AAAGCAGGGGAUCGCAAGACCUUGCGCUUUUGGAGUGGCCGAUGCCUGAUUAGCUAGUUGGUGGGGUAAUGGCCUACCAAGGCGACGAUCAGUAGUUGGUCUGAGAGGACGACCAGCCACACUGGGACUGAGACACGGCCCAGACUCCUACGGGAGGCAGCAGUGGGGAAUUUUGGACAAUGGGCGAAAGCCUGAUCCAGCAAUGCCGCGUGAGUGAAGAAGGCCUUCGGGUUGUAAAGCUCUUUCAGUCGAGAAGAAAAGGUUGUGACUAAUAAUCACAACUCAUGACGGUAUCGACAGAAGAAGCACCGGCUAACUACGUGCCAGCAGCCGCGGUAAUACGUAGGGUGCGAGCGUUAAUCGGAAUUACUGGGCGUAAAGGGUGCGCAGGCGGCUUUGUAAGUCAGAUGUGAAAUCCCCGGGCUUAACCUGGGAAUUGCGUUUGAAACUACAAAGCUAG